rnacentral:ncRNA from 1 species
AAAAAAUUUUUAUAGUUUUAAUAUUUUAUUUUAAAUAUGAUUUACAUACAAAUUUUAGUGUUAAAUUUUGUUUAUUUUAAUAAUAAAAAAAUAUUAUAAGGUAGUAAUUAACUUUAAAUUAUUUAAGAAAUUAAGAUUUAAUGAUUUAGAAAUAAAUAACUAAUUUUGUGCCAGCAGUUGCGGUUAUACAAAAAUUUAAUUAAAAUUUUUCAGUAUAUAUUAAAUAAAUUUAAAUUUAAAUUAAAAAUUAAAUUAUUAAGUGAAAUUUUAAUUUAAUAAAAAUUUAAAAAAUUAUAUGAAUUAAUAAAUUUAUAUAAAAACUAGGAUUAGAUACCCUAUUAUUAAAAUAAACAAAAUUUAUACUAAAAUAGUAAAUAAUGAUUUAUUGAAACUUAAAUAAUUUGGCGGUAUUUUAGUUCAUUUAGAGGAAUCUGUCUAAUAAUUGAUAAUCCACGAUUAAAUUUACUUAAUUUAAAAUUUUAUAUAUCGUUGUUAAAAAAAUAUUUUAAAAUAAAAAUAAUAUUUAAAAAUUAUAAUUAAAAAUUAGUUCAGAUCAAGAUGUAGAUUAUAAUUAAGAAUAUGAUGGAUUACAAUAAAUUUAUUUAAAUGAAUUUUUUUUUAUUUUAAAAUAUAAAUGAAAUUGGAUUUAAAUGUAAUUUUAUUUAAUAUAAUAAAAUGAUUUUAAAUUGAAAUAUGUACAUAUUGCCCGUCGCUUUCAUUUUAAAAUUGAAAUAAGUCGUAACAAAGUAGAAGUACUGGAAAGUGUUUCUAGAAU